rnacentral:lncRNA from 1 species
GUUUGUUUUGUGUGAUUGUUGUUGUUGACUGUUUUUUUUCAACAGGGAAAGAGCUGAAAACCUUGAAUGGUCUUCGUCUUAUUCUCUAAUAUGACUUUUGAACUUCAAGGGUGUCUGUGGUUCCCUGACACAUCAACUUUUCGGCCAAUUUCAAAGCUAAAUAGUAUUUGGGGCAUGCCACCUAGUGGCGAAAGCUUUUGGUGCAUUGCUCACUGGAAGAGAGUAAAUCAAACCCUAGUCAAUCAGCCUCCCAGGCCUGAAAACCACGCGGGGGGCCAUCGAGGUCAUCCUUCAGCUUUGGCGCAAGCAGGCAAAAAACAAAGAGAAAUCUAUUGCAUGAGAAAUACAGAAAAGGGAAG